AGGUCGGAACGUUCGACUAAGACCAUCACGUCCUGCGACAAAGUCGAAUGACGCCACAUCGUGUGGG
rnacentral:sRNA from 1 species